UACGUAGGGUGCGAGCGUUGUCCGGAAUUAUUGGGCGUAAAGAGCUUGUAGGCGGUUUGUCGCGUCUGCUGUGAAAUCUCAAGGCUCAACCUUGAGCUUGCAGUGGGUACGGGCAGACUAGAGUGUGGUAGGGGAGACUGGAAUUCCUGGUGUAGCGGCGAAAUGCGCAGAUAUCAGGAGGAACACCGAUGGCGAAGGCAGGUCUCUGGGCCACUACUGACGCUG
rnacentral:rRNA from 1 species